rnacentral:rRNA from 1 species
UGAAUACGAGAUGCUACGGCAUCGAAGCAGUCUAUGUCAUACUUCCAAGAAAAGCUCGCACUGUCAUAAACAAAAUAAUGCCUGUACCAUAACCGACACAGGUGGGUAGGUAGAGUAUACUAAGGGGCGCGAGAUAACUCUCUCUAAGGAACUCGGCAAAAUGACUCCGUAACUUCGGGAGAAGGAGUGCCUUAUUUUAAGGUUGCAAUAACCAGAUCCAAGCAACUGUUUAUCAAAAACACAGGUCUCCGCAAAGUCGUAAGACGAUGUAUGGGGGCUGACGCCUGCCCAGUGCCAGAAGGUUAAAGAAGUUGGUUAGCAUUGCGAAGCUAAUGACUGAAGCCCUGGUGAACGGCGGCCGUAACUAUAACGGUCCUAAGGUAGCGAAAUUCCUUGUCGGGUAAGUUCCGACCCGCACGAAAGGCGUAAUGAUUUGGAUACUGUCUCAGAGAGGGGCUCGGUGAAAUAGACUUGUCUGUGAAGAUGCGGACUACCUGCACCUGGACAGAAAGACCCUAUGAAGCUUUACUGUAACUUGAAAUUGAAAUUGGACUUUAUUUGCGCAGCAUAGGUGGGAGGCGUUGAAGAUCUUCUUGCGGGAAAAUCGGAGCCAUCAGUGAGAUACCACUCUUGUAAUGUUAGAUUUCUAACUUUGAAUCAUUAUCUGGUCAAAGAACAGUUUCAGGCGGGCAGUUUGACUGGGGCGGUCGCCUCCUAAACGGUAACGGAGGCGCACAAAGGUUUCCUCUGAACGGGUAGAAAUCGUAUCUAGAGUGUAAAGGCAUAAGGAAGCUUGACUGUGAGACCUACAAGUCGAGCAGGGACGAAAGUCGGUCUUAGUGAUCUGACGGUGCUGAGUGGAAAGGCCGUCACUCAACGGAUAAAAGUUACUCUAGGAUAACAGGCUGAUCUCCCCCAAGAGUUCACAUCGACGGGGAGGUUUGGCACCUCGAUGUCGGCUCAUCGCAUCCUGGGGCGGUAGUACGUCCCAAGGGUUGGGCUGUUCGCCCAUGAAAGCGGUACGCGAGCUGGGUUCAGAACGUCGUGAGACAGUUCGGUCCAUAUCCGGUGUAGGCGUUAGAAUAUUGAGAGGAGCCUUCUUUAGUACGAGAGGACCGAGAAGGACAUACCUAUGGUGUACCAGUUAUCGUGCCAACGGUAAACGCUGGGUAGCUAUGUAUGGAGUGGAUAACCGCUGAAAGCAUCUAAGUGGGAAGCCCACCUCAAGAUAAG